rnacentral:lncRNA from 1 species
GGGCUGGGCUUGGCCACAGCAAGUGCCCAAGAAAUGCCAGCUCACUAGCAGUGGAAGGUGCUUAAUGUUAAAUUCUCACUUCAAACCCUUUUGAUUAGAAUACUGGUUCUUCGUUGGCAUGGCAGUUUUAGAGGAGGAAACUUGUAUUGCCCACUUCCCUAAGCUGGUAGUUGGAGACAGUUGAGGGUAAAGGAUCUUUGGGCUGCAAGACUGAUCAUUAAGUCUUACUUUGGAGUUUCCUUUUCUGCCCUUGAAGGAUUGCAGAUUUCCAGGAUGUCCUGAAGGAGCCCUCCAUUGUGUUGGAAAAGCUUCGAGAACUCAGUUUUAGUGGCAUCCCCUGUGAGGGCGGACUGCGGUGCCUCUGCUGGAAGAUCCUCCUGAACUACCUCCCUUUGGAGAGAGACUCGUGGGAUUCCAUCCUGGCCAAGCAGAGGGGGCUUUAUUCACAGUUCCUGAGAGAGAUGAUUAUUCAGCCUGGCAUUGCGAAGGCCAACAUGGGUGUGUCCAGAGAGGACGUGACCUUUGAGGACCAUCCCCUGAACCCAAACCCUGACAGCAGGUGGAACACGUAUUUUAAGGACAA